rnacentral:misc_RNA from 1 species
CCAAAACACAUUUGCUGUGAUUGGCCAUUCUGAAUGCUUUGGUUUUGAGUUUUACGAGAAUUAAACGAGAACCGCUCAAUCACCAAAGAUUGUAGUAUUAAUUCGUACAAUGAAACCCGCUCGGCUGUAAGAACGGCAAGUAAGGUGCUGCAGUCCUGAUGUCAACACACAAAUCUUUUAUAUUGAUGUCCCAGAAUUAACGCGCAUUUGCUUGAGGUGAUCCUUUUUUAUUCCCAUAACCUAUUUCCCUAAGUUGUUAAUUACAUUUUGCAAGAAUUUAAAACGAUUAUCGAACCGUUGACUAAAUAUUGAUUAUCAAAAAAAUUGCGGCUUCUCACAAAAGCGGGCGAUUUUAAUUGAGCUUUAACGUCGCAUCUAGAGGUCAUAUAUCAAUUAAAGAAACGAAAUUAGGUCGAUAAAUCAUUCCUGUUUUGGCUGCUAUGGUAGAAUAAUAAGGUCCUGUCACUAACUAUUUGUUUUUUCCUUGUUAUUUAUGUAGACGACAUCCGUUCAAGAACAAUGACGGACGUAUUGUUAGCCACGUUACGUCUCGCGUGAAUAAUGAAAGAAAAUGAAGAGAGCAUGACUCAUUUAUAAUCCAUAAAUAAUACCUAAUAGAGAGUCAUACAAUCAGCCGGAUCACCCGCCUGUGAAAAAUAUGCAAAAACACAUCUUUAAUCACCCACCGCUUCCACCGAAGGGAGCAGAAAUUCGUACACAACUACUGCAAUUGAAAACUAUUGUUUGUCGAUUCAUAAAGGGCUAAGUAAUUCACAUGUUUAUGUGCGUAUUGCGAAGAGCAAAAGAAAAAUUUGCUGACGGAACUUGACAAGCCUGGAAGAGAAACUCUUUAACAAGUAGUAGAGAGUCAGGAGAGGCGGCUAAAAAUAGCACAGAUUUCAAGCUGGAGGACAACCCGUCAUGGAAAUCCGUUAUUUACGUCUCAGGACAUUUUACGCCUUCCUGUUUAUUCACUUUGCUGUGUCGGAAAACAUUCAUUUAGGUGUCAUGCUGCCAACAUCAAGGUCUGGAUUUUCUGAGCUUGGAAGAGCUUUAGAACUUGCUAUAGCUCCCGCCAUUCAACACGUUUACAAUCAUAGCAGACUUUCGCGCCAAUGGAACAUAACGUACACCGUCAAAGACAGCGCAUGUCACAAAACAACUGCAGUCGGUAAAACAUACGAACUUCAUAGUGCGGAUGUUUUCAUCGGGCCAGCGUGCUCCGAUUCCUGCUUGUCAGCGGGUUUAUUGGCCUCUUAUUGGAAUAAACCAAUGAUAUCUUACUCGUGUUCGUCGGUGGAGUUGAGUAAGCGAUUCUUCUACAGCACUUUUGCAAGGACACAACCUUUCAGUAGAACAUACUUGCACGAGACCCCGGAUAUACUUUUACAAUCCAUGAGGGUCUAUAACUGGACACGUGCCGCUAUUAUUUCCACAGAGGAUCUCGUGUGGACGCCAGUUGCCAUCUCCAUGACAGAAAUUUUUCAAAAGAACAACAUCAGCGUACCGUUCAAAGGGUUUUAUGUGCCAAGUUCUUCGUUUUCACACAAUACGUUCCUAAGUCAAGUCAAAGAUCAAGCGCGAAUUAUCUUUCUUCUUGCCUUCAAUAACGAGGUGGCGAAGCUUCUUGUAGCGGCGAAUGAACUGGAAAUGAUGAAUGGCGAGUACGCCUUCAUCACACUUGAUUUCACAAUCGACAGUAACUGGGUCAAGGAAUCGUGGGCCGGUGGUAGGAGCAUGGAAGAUUUUGUGGCACUUUUUGAUGGUACUGUUAAUCUGUCAGUGAAGGGGCCACACGGAGAAAACUACGAAACGUUUGUACGACAAUUCAGUGAAACGAUAAAGGCAAACAAUAUAUCAGAACUUUCGGUUACCUUUCAGUUUGCCGCCUAUCUUCAUGACGCAAUACAACUGUACGCUGUUGGUCUUAAUCGAUCUGUAAGUCAAGGAGGGACAAAGAUUGAUGGAUUCUCAAUUAUUACAAACAUAAGCAAUGGCGAUGUACUUUUCAAAGGCAUGUCUGGAGACGUGGCCAUCAACGGGGAAGGUAACCGGAUACCAGUGUUUGUAUUUAGCAACAGACAAAAUGGGCGUUUGAUUCCUAUAGCGGAGAUUGAUCAAACAAAGCCAAACAAUGAAAGUGUCACAGUCUACAAUAUGACCACACUGUGGCCGAAUGGAGUAACGACUGUGCCACUUGAUGCACCUAAAUGCGGAUUCCGAGGAGAAAAAUGCUUGAAGACUCCCGAAGAAAAGGAUGAGGAAGAAGGAUUCAACUAUCUGUGGCUUCUGACCCUGAUGUUGAUGGUGUUGGUUGUUGGCCUUCUUCUCGGCUUUCUUUACUACAAGAGAAAGGUUUAUGAAAGGGAUCUUAUGAAUACGUCGUGGGUGAUAGAUUACAAAGACAUCAUCUUAUGCUCUCGGGGCAGCCGAGUCUCUAGCAAAGUCAAAACCGGUCCCGGCUCGUUCAUUAGCACCAUGGGAGGUGACUUAAAUAUCAGUCUCACAAACGUUGGACGAUAUAAGGCUGAACUGGUGGCUCUGAAGCGACUACGAAAAAACAACAUAGAGUUGAGAAGAGAAGUGUUUGUGGAAAUGAAACAGGUGCGCGACUUAAUACACGAAAAUGUCAAUCAAUACAUUGGAAUGUCCAUUGAGUCUCCCAAUGUGUGUAUAGUCUCUAUGUUCUGCACCAGAGGAAGCCUCCAGGAUCUUUUGGCAAACGAUGAUAUCAAAAUUGACUGGCUCUUCAGGAUGUCAUUUGCAAACGAUAUUGCAAAGGGCAUGGUAGCGUUACACAACAGUCCAAUAACAGCACAUGGUAACCUGAAAUCAUCUAAAUGCUUGAUUGACGGUCGUUGGGUUUGUAAAAUAUCGGACCAUGGCUUGGACUCGGUCAAAGCAAAUCAAACAGAAGAGGAUUUAGGAGAAUACGCCGAAAACAGACGUCUCUUUUGGACUGCCCCGGAAUUGUUGCAAGAAAGGAAUCACAAAAGCGUGCAAUGCACAAAAACCCAGAAAGGCGAUGUAUACAGUUAUGGGAUUAUACUCCAUGAAAUUUUUACCCGCGACGAGCCAUAUUACCAGUUGGAACCGAAAGAUGUCUUGGUGAAGAUAAGAAAGCGACUUGUGCCUGCUUUUAGACCUGAUGUACCAAAGGAUGUGGAGGGAUGUGAUAACAGAUUCAUCCGGCUAAUGCAGCAAUGCUGGGAUAACGAGCCCUCUGUCAGGCCAACCUUCGCUGACAUAAAACUACAGCUGAAGACGAUGAACAGCAGAAAAAAUUUAGACAUCGUAGACAACAUGCUUCAGAUGAUGGAGAAAUACACAGAUCAGUUAGAGGAACUAGUUGAUGAAAGGACUCGCCAGUUGGAGAUUGAAAAAGGCAAAACAGAAGAGUUGCUCUAUAAAAUGCUACCCAAGCCGAUAGCUGACGAAUUGAAGGUUGGAAAAGCCGUCGAGGCUGAGAGCUUUUCAAGUGUCACGAUUUUCUUCAGUGAUAUAGUGGGCUUCACAAGAAUGGCGUCAGAAAGUACCCCAUUUCAGGUGGUGAAUUUGCUGAACGAACUGUACACAUCGUUUGAUAAUGUGAUUGAUAAUUAUGAUGUCUACAAGGUUGAAACCAUUGGUGAUGCUUAUAUGGUGGUGUCAGGACUUCCAGUUCGGAAUGGCAACAAGCAUGCUGGUGAGAUCGCUGCUAUGGCGCUUAAUUUGCUGAGCUGUGUCAAGGACUUCACCGUCCCUCAUAUGAAAACUAAAAAAGUGCAACUGCGGAUUGGCAUUCACACAGGUCCAUGUGUGGCUGGAGUUGUAGGACUCAAAAUGCCUCGAUACUGUUUGUUUGGAGAUACUGUGAACUAUGCUUCAAGGAUGGAAUCUAGUGGUCUUGCACUUCGAAUCCAUGUGAGUCCAGAAUGUAAAGCUGUGUUGGACACACUUGGAGGAUUCUACUUAGAAGAAAGAGGACCAGUCACACUUAAGGGAAAAGGAACGAUUGUGAGCUAUUUCCUGUGUGGUAAAGAUGGAUUUGACAAGCCUUUACCUAACCUGACAGAGGCCGCUUCACUGGAAGAGCAUGAGUUCAAAUAGUGAUUUAAAUCUAGCCAGCAAAGGACCAUUACUAGAAAGGGCUGAAUUGCUGCGUCACUUACAAACACCAAAAUUAAUGGUCGAAGGUGGAUUGUGGGAAUCGUUGAUAGAAAACCAAAUAAACUCGGUGUUUCAUCAGUCGCAUAGCAUAAACGGCCGCUUAAAAGCCCUGGGCUUUUAGAUGGGCUUGUAAACGGAGGGGCUUAUAUCCGAGGGGGCUUAAAAACAGGAAGAAAAAAACGUUUCGAAACGAGCUAUAGCUGCAACAUCAUAAUAAGACGAAUUCAAAGCAAGAGGCCAAGAUGGUGGACCAAGAAAGCUUGUAUUUGUAAACGUAAAAAAAAAUGUAAAUCUUAUUUAUAGUAGUCAUGCACUUAGCUAUACAGCCACUGAAAGAGAUGACAAGAUGUUAAGAAAUAAUUAUUGUAACUAAUAAUGAUAGCAAAACAGUGACUAUAGAUCAGAUAAUAAAGACUUUAUUUAUUACAAAAUACUUUGUUAUAACAACUUUUAAAUUUGGUGAUCACGUGAAAUCUGGGUAUUUCCACUUUCAUAUUCUUCUGUGGUUGUAUCUACAAUUUUAUUUUGAUUUCACAUAUACUGAAAAUACCAUAGAUUCGUUUGACAAAGUGGCAAGGGAAAGGGGUUUGAAUUUAAAACAUUUGUAAGUUUUGCAGUCUUCAGGAAACAUUUCCAGGGCUUCUGGUCUAUUAAUUCAGUUUUCAAAUUUGUUAAAGUGCCUACUUUAUAAUUAAUUUUCAUUAUUUACAAAUAUUUUCUAGUAAAAUGUCUACUUUCAUGAAACUCAUAAACUACUUCUACACUACGAUUUACAGCGGGAAAAGUUCAAGACUUGCGACCUUUUAAGGCAGCUUACAACUGUAACACCAACUGAUCAGCGUUACUUAAAAGCUUUUUAGAAACAAGGUGUGAACAAGCCCAGAUACCUUUUAUAUCAUAAGAUAUUCUUAACUGGGCCGGCGCUGUGGUUUGGUUCGGUUACGCAGGUUUUUCAGCUGAUAUAAUCAAUACACACAGAGAAAAACCACACAUUUGUAUCGAACAAAUGGCUAAAACAAGACGAAGGAAAGCACCGAGUGUUAGAGCUACCGUCUACGGAAGCGAUAACAAUGACAAAACCUUUCCCUGAACCAAAACACUUUCAGACAGCAUAUACACACCUCUUGGCAGAAAGCGGCCUCGAGAUUCGCUUUGAAAAUAUAAGAAAACUUAAACUGUGUCUGUACUGUUGAGCGAGUCUUCAAGCUUAAGUAAUCAAAACCAUAAGGGAGCUGACAAGGUGUUAUCGGGGUGCCUCAUCAAAGACGGACACACCUCAUGCGCUGGUUAUGAAGUGAUGCAUGACUUGUGUAAAGAUGCCUGUUUGAUGCACCGCCGAGCUUUCAAUUUGGAUCAUAUGAAAUUUGUCAACGAGCAAGAAAAACUACAAUCGACAACAAUCGGC